rnacentral:ncRNA from 1 species
GUUAUGAGUGAUUCUGUCAUUAAUUCUUAAAGUGGAUUUUUAUUAAACAUGUAAAUUUAAGUGUGAAGUUAAUUUAUUAAAUAUAAAUAGGUUUAUUCUUCAGUUUUUAAUUUUAUUUUUACUCAAUCAAUUGAGUAAUAGUAAUUAAUUUUAAACACUAACUAAUUUUAGUGCCAGCAGUUGCGGUUAUUCUAAUAGUGUAAUUUUAUGUAUCUUGGUUAGGUAUUAAAUUUUUUAUUUUUUGUUUAAAAAUUGAUUUAUUAAGUGGAAUUUUGAAUUAAUAUUAAACAAUGGUUAAUUAAAAUAUUAAAUUAUGAGUAAAAACUAGGAUUAGAUACCCUAUUAUUCAUUUUUAAAUUUUAACUUUAUUAGUAAUAGUUAUUUUCUUGAAAAUAAAAGAAUUUGGCGGUAAUUAAUUUAAUUGUUUAGAGGAACCUGUUCUAUAAUCGAUAAUCCACGAGUUAUUUUACUUUAAUUAUUGGUUUAUAUACCUCUAUCAUUGAAUGUUUUAUUAGAAUAUUUUCUUUAAUUAUUAGUAUACAAAAUGUUAGGUCAAGGUUUAGCUUAUUAAAGUAAGAAAUGGGUUACAUUAAUUAAAGUUAUGGAUUUAACUAGUUGAAUGUUAAUAAAAUUGGAUUUAAUUGUAAUUUAAAUAAAUUAUUUAAUUGAAAUUAUUAUGAUUAUGCACAUAUCGCCCGUCAUUUCCAUAUAGUGGGACAAGUCGUAACAAAGUAGGGUUAUUGGAAAGUGAUCCUGGUUAGAUUU